rnacentral:rRNA from 1 species
CACGUAGGGCGCAAGCGUUGUCCGGAAUUAUUGGGCGUAAAGAGCGUGUAGGCGGCCCGAUAAGUCCGCCGUGAAAGUCCAGGGCUCAACCCUGGAAUGCCGGUGGAAACUGUCGGGCUGGAGUCCGGAAGAGGCGAGUGGAAUUCCUGGUGUAGCGGUGAAAUGCGCAGAUAUCAGGAGGAACACCAAUGGCGAAGGCAGCUCGCUGGGACGGUACUGACGCUGAGACGCGAAAGCGUGGGGAGCAAACAGG